rnacentral:rRNA from 1 species
UUUAUGGAGAGUUUGAUCCUGGCUCAGGAUGAACGCUGGCGGCGUGCCUAAUACAUGCAAGUCGAGCGAACGGACGAGAAGCUUGCUUCUCUGAUGUUAGCGGCGGACGGGUGAGUAACACGUGGAUAACCUACCUAUAAGACUGGGAUAACUUCGGGAAACCGGAGCUAAUACCGGAUAAUAUUUUGAACCGCAUGGUUCAAAAGUGAAAGACGGUCUUGCUGUCACUUAUAGAUGGAUCCGCGCUGCAUUAGCUAGUUGGUAAGGUAACGGCUUACCAAGGCAACGAUGCAUAGCCGACCUGAGAGGGUGAUCGGCCACACUGGAACUGAGACACGGUCCAGACUCCUACGGGAGGCAGCAGUAGGGAAUCUUCCGCAAUGGGCGAAAGCCUGACGGAGCAACGCCGCGUGAGUGAUGAAGGUCUUCGGAUCGUAAAACUCUGUUAUUAGGGAAGAACAUAUGUGUAAGUAACUGUGCACAUCUUGACGGUACCUAAUCAGAAAGCCACGGCUAACUACGUGCCAGCAGCCGCGGUAAUACGUAGGUGGCAAGCGUUAUCCGGAAUUAUUGGGCGUAAAGCGCGCGUAGGCGGUUUUUUAAGUCUGAUGUGAAAGCCCACGGCUCAACCGUGGAGGGUCAUUGGAAACUGGAAAACUUGAGUGCAGAAGAGGAAAGUGGAAUUCCAUGUGUAGCGGUGAAAUGCGCAGAGAUAUGGAGGAACACCAGUGGCGAAGGCGACUUUCUGGUCUGUAACUGACGCUGAUGUGCGAAAGCGUGGGGAUCAAACAGGAUUAGAUACCCUGGUAGUCCACGCCGUAAACGAUGAGUGCUAAGUGUUAGGGGUUUCCGCCCCUUAGUGCUGCAGCUAACGCAUUAAGCACUCCGCCUGGGGAGUACGACCGCAAGGUUGAAACUCAAAGGAAUUGACGGGGACCCGCACAAGCGGUGGAGCAUGUGGUUUAAUUCGAAGCAACGCGAAGAACCUUACCAAAUCUUGACAUCCUUUGACAACUCUAGAGAUAGAGCCUUCCUCUUCGGGGGACAAAGUGACAGGUGGUGCAUGGUUGUCGUCAGCUCGUGUCGUGAGAUGUUGGGUUAAGUCCCGCAACGAGCGCAACCCUUAAGCUUAGUUGCCAUCAUUAAGUUGGGCACUCUAAGUUGACUGCCGGUGACAAACCGGAGGAAGGUGGGGAUGACGUCAAAUCAUCAUGCCCCUUAUGAUUUGGGCUACACACGUGCUACAAUGGACAAUACAAAGGGCAGCGAAACCGCGAGGUCAAGCAAAUCCCAUAAAGUUGUUCUCAGUUCGGAUUGUAGUCUGCAACUCGACUACAUGAAGCUGGAAUCGCUAGUAAUCGUAGAUCAGCAUGCUACGGUGAAUACGUUCCCGGGUCUUGUACACACCGCCCGUCACACCACGAGAGUUUGUAACACCCGAAGCCGGUGGAGUAACCUUUUAGGAGCUAGCCGUCGAAGGUGGGACAAAUGAUUGGGGUGAAGUCGUAACAAGGUAGCCGUAUCGGAAGGUGCGGCUGGAUCACCUCCUUU